rnacentral:rRNA from 1 species
GACGAACGCUGGCGGCGUGCUUAACACAUGCAAGUCGAACGGUAAGGCCCUUCGGGGUACACGAGUGGCGAACGGGUGAGUAACACGUGGGUAAUCUGCCCUGCACUUCGGGAUAAGCCUGGGAAACUGGGUCUAAUACCGGAUAGGACCACUGCCUGCAUGGGUGGGGGUGGAAAGCUUUUGCGGUGUGGGAUGGGCCCGCGGCCUAUCAGCUUGUUGGUGGGGUGAUGGCCUACCAAGGCGACGACGGGUAGCCGGCCUGAGAGAGUGACCGGCCAGACUGGGACUGAGAUACGGCCCAGACUCCUACGGGAGGCAGCAGUGGGGAAUAUUGCACAAUGGGCGCAAGCCUGAUGCAGCGACGCCGCGUGAGGGAUGACGGCCUUCGGGUUGUAAACCUCUUUCAGCACCGACGAAGCGCAAGUGACGGUAGGUGCAGAAGAAGGACCGGCCAACUACGUGCCAGCAGCCGCAGUAA